rnacentral:lncRNA from 1 species
AGGCGGCAGCGGAAGGUGGGAGCGACGACUGCAAAACGGCAGCGAUGGGGGAGGCUUGCUGCUCCUCCGCGGCCGUUACAGAGAGCGGGGCUUCUGCGGCCGCUACCGUUUCCCUGGGGCUAGGUUGCUUCGCAGAAGGCUCUGGCCCUGAGUCCGAGGGGGACUGCGGGGUCCAGGGGCGAUGAAUGCUCCCGCAACCUCCGGAGCUUGUGCGCGUACUUCAGGGACCGGCACCACGUCACCGUCACCUCCUGAGUAGUGAGUUCCCCUCUGAUGAAACCACUGGUGUGUUUACUCACCAUCCCCACCAUUUUUUUUUCCCCAACCUGAUGGAAGGAAGUACAUAAUGGAGAGCAAGUUUUUAAAGCACGGUCGUGUCGUGUGAACUUGCUCUAGCCAAAUUAGGUUUAUAGCACUUUUUUUGGCUCUCAUUACCUCCAGUCCCCACAUAAACAAGAGUGACCAGCUGGGUCAUCCGCAAGACCGUUUGAAAUUAUUGUGGCUUGGGUGGAAACUUAAAGGAGUGAAGUAUCUGCUUUCCAGAAAAAUCGUUGUCAUUCAAAGUGAAAUUAAACUUGUUUUCUUUGCAAUAAUUCGCCUUUAUUUCCUUGUAUAUCUGUAAACUCUUCACUUUUUUGUAAUUACUAGACAAUUCGGACUUAAAAAGAGCCUCAGCAUGUGUAUUUUGGAAUUGUGUAGCUUCAUAAUGUGAAAAUUAUUCUUUUCUAUUUGAGUAAAGUACAGUUAAUUUGAAGUAAAUAAAAUUUCUAUUUCCAUUGGUUGUUUCUUUUAAAAAGUCACCUUUUACUUACAAAAGAAUCACUGUAAUCCAGUUUACAUUUAUCAUUGAAGGUCAAAAGCAAGAAAUAGGAAGAAACACAAGCAUACUAUAAAAUAAAAGGUAACUGUCAUGUUUUUGAAGGUAAGGUGUUUUGACAUAUCAGCAGACAUUGUGUGAAUUUAUUUCAACUCCUAGUGGUACUGGUGUAGGUAGAAAAUGUUUUGCUUGGUUAUUCAUUUCAUCAAACACUCUACUUCACUGUUUUUUUUUCACUUCAGGAAAAUUCGAGGAGGAACAACACAUACUAGUGUCUUUCCUUUCUUUCUCCCCGUCUUCUGCAAAUAGUCC